rnacentral:lncRNA from 1 species
AGGAGCUGCUCUCUGGAUGGGGAGAUGGGAGCUAGCAGCUCACAAUGGGGUCACAAGAUGCAUGGUGAAUAUUUGAUGUUUUAGAACAAAAAUGUAUUUACAAAUCUCAUUUGAUGCAGACAUCUGAAAAUACUCAGAAGUUACAAGAAUUCAUAAAAUACCCACCAAAGCUAAUAGAAAACAUGGAACCUUCCAGGACAAGAAGUAAAUUAAAAGAACAACCCAGAGGAGUAAUCAAAGUGAGAAGCCAGUGCCGCCUCCAGGUACUGGAUGAUCACAGGGACCUCAGGCUUUGGGGAUUAUUCAACUACCUUCUUGGAAUAAACAACAAAAAAAGUA